AUCUAUUUAGCUUAUUUAGAGCAUAAUAUUGAAAAUAUUAAGGAUUUUAAUUAGGUUUUAAAUU
rnacentral:tRNA from 1 species